UGGGGAAUAUUGCACAAUGGGCGGAAGCCUGAUGCAGCGACGCCGCGUGAGGGAUGACGGCCUUCGGGUUGUAAACCUCUUUCAGCAGGGAAGAAGCGCAAGUGACGGUACCUGCAGAAGAAGCACCGGCUAACUACGUGCCAGCAGCCGCGGUAAUACGUAGGGUGCGAGCGUUGUCCGGAAUUAUUGGGCGUAAAGAGCUUGUAGGUGGUUUGUCGCGUCUGCUGUGAAAAUCCGAGGCUCAACCUCGGACUUGCAGUGGGUACGGGCAGACUAGAGUGUGGUAGGGGAGACUGGAAUUCCUGGUGUAGCGGUGGAAUGCGCAGAUAUCAGGAGGAACACCGAUGGCGAAGGCAGGUCUCUGGGCCAACACUGACGCUCAUGCACGAAAGCGUGGGGAGCAAAC
rnacentral:rRNA from 1 species